GACGAACGCUGGCGGCAUGCCUAAUACAUGCAAGUCGAGCGAACAGAUGAAGUGCUUGCGCUUCUGACGUUAGCGGCGAACGGGUGAGUAACACGUAAGGAAUCUACCUAUAAGCGGGGGAUAACAUUCGGAAACGGGUGCUAAUACCGCAUAAUAUCUUCUUCCGCAUGGAAGGAGAUUGAAAGACGGCUCUGCUGUCACUUCUAGAUGACCUUGCGGUGCAUUAGUUAGUUGGUGGGGUAAUGGCCUACCAAGACGAUGAUGCAUAGCCGACCUGAGAGGGUGAUCGGCCACAUUGGGACUGAGACACGGCCCAAACUCCUACGGGAGGCAGCAGUAGGGAAUCUUCCGCAAUGGGCGAAAGCCUGACGGAGCAAUGCCGCGUGAGUGAAGAAGGCCUUCGGGUCGUAAAACUCUGUUAUAAGAGAAGAACAAAUUGUAGAGUAACUGCUACAGUCUUGACGGUAUCUUAUCAGAAAGCCACGGCUAACUACGUGCCAGCAGCCGCCGUAA
rnacentral:rRNA from 1 species